GUCUGUGUAGUAUACUAAUUACACUGGUCUUGUAAACCAGAAAAGAGGAAGACAUUCCCCCAAAGACA
rnacentral:tRNA from 1 species